CCCUCCCCCAUCACAUGAUGAUCAGUUGUCGAAAGACAGCAUACCUACAAGCUUUAGGAAGAGCCGGAAAAGGCAUGACAGGAGACAUACUUCCAAGAGCAUCGACAAAUGCUCGCCGAGGUCCUGUCGUCGGUGCUUACAACCAGGUGUCUGAUAUCACUAUUCUA
rnacentral:snoRNA from 1 species